UUAUCAAGUAACCCUUGUGGCGUCAACCCGUCUUUCUAUCCGAACUUAUCACUUUAAUCCCAAAAGUGUGGCGUUCGAUUCGUACUGAGGUUCCUAUCAUUUUUGAUAGCGGGUCGAAGUUUCUAUCCACUUAACAAACCUUCCAUCAACACCCUACCAACCUAAGCAUUCUCCUAAGUUACGGGUUAACACACUCUUAUUGUGUUAGUUCGGCUUUUGAAUACUUAGCCCAAACUUCAUCCAUUGAUUUAUGUUUUAUUUCCUAAACCAACAAAACUUUAUUGAGCCUAAAUAAUUCCUUUUCUUCUAGCCUAUUUUGUAAAGCUUUCAAAUUACUCCAAUUCACGAUCGGGCACAUCAACGACUCGACUCUCCUUCCCGGGCCGGGGCGUAUCAUUUGGUAUCAGAGCUAGCUAAAUCGGAGUAAGAUCGACGUUAUCGGUAUUACGGUAUUGUAAAAAAAAAUAUAAAAAAAAAAUUUGAAAAAAAAAAAAAUUUGAAAAAAAAAAUUCAAAAAAAAAAAAGUUUGUAUUCAAUUUAUUUGUACUUUUUGUAUUUAGUAUUGAAGAAAAAAAAAGAAGAAAAAAAAAUUCGGAAUUAAAACAAAAAAAGAAGAAAAAAAAUCAAAAUUGAAAAAAAAAAAAAAGUGAUUGAAAUUCGUUUUGGGUUUGUAAAAGCAUUGCUUGUUGCCCGAAGGACCAUAUCUAUAUAGCCACACUUAACCAUUUCUAUUUUUGUUUGAUAGCCUACCAUUUCCGACGUCAUUACCACCAAGCCAAAUUAAUUUUGUAAGCCGACGCCAAACGAUAUUAAUUUGUCGACUUAGUUUGCGAAGAACUUCGAGAGGCGAAAAUCGAGUGGAAAAAGGCAAGAGUGUUUGGUGAGACCAUUCGAGAGAAGUAAAAGCCAAAUUUGUGCGAAUUUUUCUUUGCGAGUGAAACGUGAGAUUUUUGUGGUGAGAAUUAAAUCAUGUUUCAAGAAGAAUUUUCUGAAUCAGAUUUCCAAUAUUUAAUGCAAGAAAUGCGUAGAAUGGUGAAAUCAAAUUUUGAUAUAUUGCAUGAUAGAUUGGAUCGAAUAGAGACAAGAGCCCAACAAAAACAAAUUCCAUCGAGACAAGAGACGGAGUUAAGAUCAUUCCGACGACACUACUCGACAAGAGACUCUUAUCAAGACGUCUAUUCAACAAGGCGUUCGAGACCAAGAGAAGCAAACUACGAGUUUGAGUCCUUCCGAGAUGAUAUACAAAAAGGUAAUCAUGUCUCUACAAAUGCCUCAAUUUAUUCAACUACGAAGGAUUAUUUACGAAGAGGCGAACGUGUUUCAAGAAUGUCAAAGUACUCGAAUACGGAGGGUUAUUCACAAAGAGAUGAUCGUGACUUGCAUGAUGAAUCUGCCAUUUCUUUCAAACGAGAAGCUUGUCAUUAUGGUUCUUAUAAGUUAUCAUCUUCUUGUAAUGAAAGAACAAGACAAAAAGAAAAUAGAAGAAAAGAAAGACAAGAGAUGUUGAUGCAAGAAAAUGAACGAAUCUUGAAUGAAAUUGAGAGAAGAAAAAAAGAAAAUGAGAGUGAGAAAAAGAAAAAAGAAUUUGAGAUUGAGAUUGAUAUUGAUAUUGAUAUUGAGAAAAAAAUUGAAAAGGAAAAAGAUGUUGAAAAAGAAAUGAGAGAAAAGGAAGAUGGUGAGCGAGAACAAGAAAAAGAGAGGAAAAUUUUAACUAACCCCCGAGAUGUUUGUUUUUGUUCUGUUCCUUCUUUUCAGGUUUCGACAAAUCUCUAUGACGAAUAUCAACUUCAAUAUCUUCCUGACGAGCGACGUUUUUGCCUGACCGAAAAAGGUAAGGAUGAAGUUGAAAUUGAACCACAUGAGCCCGAAGGUAAGAUAGGUAAGGAACACCUAGCACUUGAAUUUCCAUUAUCUUCCUUGAAUGUGGAUAAACAUAAUGUCGACUUCAUCUUUGUAAAAGCUCCAUGCCAAAAAGUGGUUGAUUUUCCUUCAUUGAUUAGUGUUUUAAUCUCAAAUGGUGGUGAGACGAGUUUUCCCAAAACAAAUUUUUGCGUUGACAAGUUUGGUUUAAUGAACUCUUUGCUACUCUUUGGCGUUAAUAAUCAAAAUCAAAUUUUUAAACCCAGAAUCUGUUUUAGUACAUUUGUUGGGAAAUUCAAGCAUGACCAAUUGUGUGUGAACAAUUUCUAUUGUUUUGAUGCUUGGUUGUUCAAUAAGGAAACGAGGUAUGAUAAAUUUGAUUUCAAUUCAAUCCUUAGUCUAUUUCUGUGGUUAUACCUGAAGUACGUAUUUCAUUUCGACAAGGUUAAUUCCACCAAGGAGCUUCGAUUGCAUUACAAGUCCAAGGAGAGAAGAUUUGUGAUGAUCGAUGAAGGUAAAAAUGAUCCUUGUUUUUCCAUUCUUCAAGGUGAACAAGGUAUGACUCAUGAGAACUUUAAAAUCUUUCUGCCCUAUUCGGUUGGAAAUAAACAUCUUUUUGAAGAAUUGGUUUUUGCAAAGUAUUUCAAUCGUGAAGUGUUUAAUUGUUCAGCUUUAUUUGAAAGUGAUUUAUCUAUUUUGAUUGAUGCUGAUAAUGCGAAUUUGGAAGAACCCAUCGUUCAAUUUCCAUUGCCAAGUUUUAUUGUGCGAGAUUUCUAUUCAUUUGUUUGUGAUGAAAGGAUUAUGCUGAUGGUAUCUUCAUUUCGUUUGAAAUAUGUUGGUAAGACUAUUAUUGUUGAUAAAUUUGUUGGUGAAUCAAUAGGCAAACGUCCACUACAUGUUUCAAUCGAACAAAAGCAUGAAUCCAAUGGUUUUUUUUAUUUACCUGAUAAUGUAGAAAAUGUGUGGUCGUUGAAUUGUUGUGAAAGCUUACUAUGUUUGAACGAAGAAAUUUGGAAAAGAUUCAAGGCAAAUGAACAUUUUAACAUACCUGAUUUUGUGAGCCUAUCCAUUCCAUGCUAUCGUAAAGGGUUGUAUAAGGACAAACUUUUUAUGAGGGACAAGAAGCUCGACUUGAGGGCAAGUCGCUUCGAAGAAGGGGGGGAUGAUACGACCCCGCCCCGGAAACAUUUUUGGUUCAGCUCAUUCGAGCUCAAUUCAGCUCAUUAAGCUCGUUAUUAGCUCACUAGCUCAUUUAAUUUAAUUUGCUGGAAUAAAUUAAUUAGUUAAGUUAGUUAUUUUAGCUUAAAUAAUUACUAAGUAUUUAAUUAAGAAAUCUGGACAUUUUAAAUAUGUUUUAUUGGUUUUAAUGCAUGCUUUAAAUUUGUCUUAAGACUAUUUAAAUGUGUUCUAUUUAGUACAGCUUUUAAUGUGUCUGGACAGAUUUAAUGCUGUUGUUUAAUGUGUCUUUAGUGCUUUAAAGUGCCGAAUUUAAUAUGUCUAAUUGUUGACUUAAUUCAGCCGAAUUAAUGAACCACUUUAAGGUGUCUUGUGGCUGCCGAAUUUAAUUGUAAUGUGCAUGAAUUAUUUGACCGAAUUUAUUUUGUGUCUGCAGGUCAUUGAAUUCGGCUAAAUGGCAAAGGAAACAUGCAUUUAAGGAGAUGUUCCCAUGCAUGGACGGCAUUAAUUAGUUGCUGGAGCUUGCAUGCAUGGCCGAAUUUAAUGAGCAGCAAGGGAGAUGUUCCCAUGCAUGGAACGGCAUUUAAAGGAAGCAAAGACAUGGAUUUAAUGAGAUGUUCCCAUGCAUGGACGGCAUUAAUGAAAGCAUGCAAGGGGGACGUUUUUGAAUGCCAUUAAAGCUGGUAUUGCUUCGAGUACAGCAAAGAGCUGUUGUUUGGGGAAUUUCCAAGUGGCCAUUCGGCCAAAACAUGUUUGUUGCUUGCUGUUUAAACCAAGGUUGAAGUUUCAUGCUUCCAAAGAGCAUUAAUGUGCCGUCUCAAUUAAGAGAAUGCAUGAGCAGCAAAUUAAAACCUGCAUUUAAGCUGCCGUUUGAGCUCACCUAGGAGCCUUUUUCGUGGGAAACAAAGGAGCCUUAAAAGCACCAUCCAAAUUGAAGGGAUGAAUGGGCAGAUUCUAGAAGUCAAAUUUAUUACCCAUGAUGAACAAACAUUUGCUUCAUGACUAAGGAUGCAUCUAUGGAUGGCAAGGGGGGGACGAAUGUGACUUAAAUUUCAUUCAAUGGAUGAACAUAUAUCAUUAAAAUCGGUUCAUGGGCUGAUUCAUGUUACUUAUUAAUGGCCAGAAUUGGCUAUUCAUGUCCUAGUUUUAGUAUAAAUAGUUGGCUUGAAAACAUGUAAAAGGUUAGAAAAUAUACUUUUAAACUUUAUAUGAAAUUUGUUUACUUUGUGAGUUUGUUUUCAACUCUCAUUGUUCUCCAAAGACUCGUCUGACUUAUCAAGUAACCCUUGUGGCGUCAACCCGUCUUUCUAUCCGAACUUAUCACUUUAAUCCCAAAAGUGUGGCGUUCGAUUCGUACUGAGGUUCCUAUCAUUUUUGAUAGCGGGUCGAAGUUUCUAUCCACUUAACAAACCUUCCAUCAACACCCUACCAACCUAAGCAUUCUCCUAAGUUACGGGUUAACACACUCUUAUUGUGUUAGUUCGGCUUUUGAAUACUUAGCCCAAACUUCAUCCAUUGAUUUAUGUUUCAUUUCCUAAACCAACAAAACUUUAUUGAGCCUAAAUAAUUCCUUUUCUUCUAGCCUAUUUUGUAAAGCUUUCAAAUUACUCCAAUUCACGAUCGGGCACAUCAACGACUCGGAUUCAUUAACCGGGC
rnacentral:lncRNA from 1 species